rnacentral:rRNA from 1 species
UACGUAGGGUGCGAGCGUUAAUCGGAAUUACUGGGCGUAAAGCGUGCGUAGGCGGUCCGCGAAGUCUGAUGUGAAAGCCCCGGGCUCAACCUGGGAACUGCAUUGGAAACUAACGGGCUCGAGUGUGGCAGAGGGGGGUGGAAUUCCACGUGUAGCAGUGAAAUGCGUAGAGAUGUGGAGGAACACCGAUGGCGAAGGCAGCCCCCUGGGCUAACACUGACGCUCAGGCACGAAAGCGUGGGGAGCAAAAGGG